AAAUAUACUGGCAAUGUUAUUCAACACCCGAGUAUUUGCGAGUGCAAAAUGUGAUGAGUGGGAUGUAAUAUUCGAGUGAAAUAAAAAGCUGUAGCCAAUAAACAUAACUGGUUCUACCAAAACGAUGAUGAUAAUACAUCUAUUGCAACCAGCGCCGCUGCCUAAAAAUGGACAUGGCCGAUUCGUGAAGGUAGCCGUGCAGAUGAAGCUUACUAAUUUUUGACUUAUAAAAAAAAUGUGUUACUAAAAA